CCGGCCACUGGUGCAGCAGCACAACACGAUCUGUUUAGCUUUGGCUCGGCCAGAGCGUGGUGUGCUGCAGCACAAGGGUAGG
rnacentral:pre_miRNA from 1 species